GGUGAGAUGGCCGAGUGGUCUAAGGCGCUGUGUUUAGGUCCAAAUUCGUACUACUCAAUCAAGCGUAGUAUGGGUUUAGCUAAGCGAAGGAUAUUCCGCAGUGGGAAACCGCGUGGGUUCGAAUCCCACUCUCAUCA